CACCACAUGCCAUCUAUUGCACGAUAGACAGCCAGCAAAUAAUGCGUGUUGCAUAUAUGCAUAGCCCCUAUUCGUAUGUACAUUAUUUGUUAGCUAUCUAUAAUGUGAUAGAUGGCCAACAUGAUGCACUAUAUAUUGUAAUGCACCACAUAGGAUCCGCACUCAGAGGGUCAUAUGCUGCAUAUGUUUAAUUGGGAAUGUCCCAUUUACAUCUCUAUCGACGAUAGCUUAGGUACUAGACCCUUCAAUGUCCGAGCAUUAAGCCCAACC
rnacentral:lncRNA from 1 species